rnacentral:piRNA from 1 species
UAUGACACGUAUGUGGACAUUUCUGCCUUCUU